CGAACGCUGGCGGCGUGCCUAACACAUGCAAGUCGAACGUGAAAGCGGACUUCGGUCCGUCGGUAGCGUGGCAGACGGGUGAGUAACACGUGGGUAACCUACCCAGAGGUGGGGGAUAACCCUUCGAAAGGAGGGCUAAUACCGCAUAACAUCCCGAGGUCUUCGGGCUUCGGGAUCAAAGCUAGCCUCUACUUGUAAGCUAGCGCCACUGGAGGGGCCCGCGCCCCAUUAGCUUGUUGGUGAGGUAAAGGCUCACCAAGGCCACGAUGGGUAGCCGGCCUGAGAGGGCGAUCGGCCACACUGGAACUGAGACACGGUCCAGACUCCUACGGGAGGCAGCAGUGAGGAAUCUUGCGCAAUGGGCGAAAGCCUGACGCAGCGACGCCGCGUGGAGGAUGAAGGCCUUCGGGUCGUAAACUCCUGUCGAGAGGGACGAAAGUCGGGGAGGUUAAUAGCCUCCUCGGUUGACGGUACCUCCAAAGGAAGCCCCGGCUAACUCC
rnacentral:rRNA from 1 species